GAAUAAAUGAAAGGAGGAGUUUGUCUGACUGUCAACCUACGUGCACCAAACAGGUGGAGGACUGUACACACACCUGUGGAGGAUGUAGAGGACCAUCUCUUUACUUCCUGCACUGGCAGCGUGAUGACGUCACCUGCAGCCGGACGAGUCGAGUGACGUGAGGGGCAGCCUGACCAAAACAAGAUGAAGAGCUGUUAACAUGUAUGCUACACCACGCUGCCUCACCUGUUUCAACAUCUGGUGUUUCCUCGCUCUGAGAACUCUGAUCUGUGCUGCAGCUGGAAGGAUUUUCUUUGGAUUAAAGUUUACCUG